rnacentral:rRNA from 1 species
AGAGUUUGAUCAUGGCUCAGAUUGAACGCUGGCGGCAGGCCUAACACAUGCAAGUCGAGCGGUAGCACAGAGAGCUUGCUCUCGGGUGACGAGCGGCGGACGGGUGAGUAAUGUCUGGGAAACUGCCUGAUGGAGGGGGAUAACUACUGGAAACGGUAGCUAAUACCGCAUAACGUCGCAAGACCAAAGUGGGGGACCUUCGGGCCUCAUGCCAUCAGAUGUGCCCAGAUGGGAUUAGCUAGUAGGUGGGGUAACGGCUCACCUAGGCGACGAUCCCUAGCUGGUCUGAGAGGAUGACCAGCCACACUGGAACUGAGACACGGUCCAGACUCCUACGGGAGGCAGCAGUGGGGAAUAUUGCACAAUGGGCGCAAGCCUGAUGCAGCCAUGCCGCGUGUGUGAAGAAGGCCUUCGGGUUGUAAAGCACUUUCAGCGGGGAGGAAGGCGAUAAGGUUAAUAACCUUGUCGAUUGACGUUACCCGCAGAAGAAGCACCGGCUAACUCCGUGCCAGCAGCCGCGGUAAUACGGAGGGUGCAAGCGUUAAUCGGAAUUACUGGGCGUAAAGCGCACGCAGGCGGUCUGUCAAGUCGGAUGUGAAAUCCCCGGGCUUAACCUGGGAACUGCAUUCGAAACUGGCAGGCUAGAGUCUUGUAGAGGGGGGUAGAAUUCCAGGUGUAGCGGUGAAAUGCGUAGAGAUCUGGAGGAAUACCGGUGGCGAAGGCGGCCCCCUGGACAAAGACUGACGCUCAGGUGCGAAAGCGUGGGGAGCAAACAGGAUUAGAUACCCUGGUAGUCCACGCCGUAAACGAUGUCGAUUUGGAGGUUGUGCCCUUGAGGCGUGGCUUCCGGAGCUAACGCGUUAAAUCGACCGCCUGGGGAGUACGGCCGCAAGGUUAAAACUCAAAUGAAUUGACGGGGGCCCGCACAAGCGGUGGAGCAUGUGGUUUAAUUCGAUGCAACGCGAAGAACCUUACCUGGUCUUGACAUCCACAGAACUUUCCAGAGAUGGAUUGGUGCCUUCGGGAACUGUGAGACAGGUGCUGCAUGGCUGUCGUCAGCUCGUGUUGUGAAAUGUUGGGUUAAGUCCCGCAACGAGCGCAACCCUUAUCCUUUGUUGCCAGCGGU